rnacentral:lncRNA from 7 species
GUGGGGAAGGGCACACAGUGCCCCUUUUCAGCUCCUCAGGAACAGGGGAGCAGCCCAGCACUGGCAUUUCCCAGGCAGCCAUGGCUUGGCCCUGCUCGGACCUGUCCCGGCAUGGAGCCUUCCUGGGGUAGAGCUGAGAGGUCACCUCUGGACCUUUCCGGACCUGUCGCUGGCACAGCUUUAUCUACAGAACUCUGUGACACCAGAGAAGCUGCAUUUCUUGAUGUCUCCUUUUUGCCUGGUGGUGACUUCAAUCAUUGCAUGAGCGCUCUCAUCCCCCCUUCUGCACCAGCACUGCAACUCCUCAAAAUGGACCAUGAUUGCAUUCCUCCCGGCAUCUCUCUUACGUUCCUUCUCUGCUUCUCUCCAAUUUCUCUCCUUUCUUUUCCUCUCUCUUCCUCAUUUUCCUCCCAGUCAUCUUUUAUGCUUCUCCUGCAGCAGCCAUGAACCAUGACAGCCCAGGGUUGAGAGUGUGUGGGGCACCUCAACAGGCGCAGUGUGCAGAGUGCAUUUCUCCACUUGUUGCACCCCAGAGGGGCCCCACAGUGCAACCACCCCUAUGUGCUAAUAUGUCCACAUCAGGAGGUGACAUCAUAUCAUCCUGAAAAAGAAAUGGGACCUGACAGCAGCUCUCCAGCCACUUCCUUUCCCCUCUGCAGUCUCACUGUCCCCAAGCUGCACAUGCCUUAUGGCACCAUUGGCGGUGAACCUCAUUCUUGGUUGGUGGCUGGUGGCAGCGAGCAGGGCACAGCAAGCACAAAGCGAGAACAUACAGGUCGUUAUCGGUGUCAGUACCGGGUGUCUGAGUCAGAAGAGGCAUCAGAGAAGAGUGACCCUGUGGAGCUGGUGCUGACAGGUGAGGACACUGGGGACAGCAAAUGGCUCUGGCUGCUCCCCACAGGACCAUAUCCCACUGCUGUUCCAUCCCUCAUGCAGAUCUCAGAUAUCCCCCAUCCAGCAUUCCCCUUCACCCUGAGCAACAUGUGGGAACAGGGACCAAUGUCACCAUACGCUGCUGGAACAAGGACUAUGGGGCCACCUUCUUCCUGCACAAGGAUGGGAGCUCAGACCCUAUCAAGCACCAGUACUCCAGUGGUGGAGGUACUGCAAACUUUACUUCCUUGCGGUGACCCCAGCUGA